AAACCUGAGAAACCCGAAAGUUCGAAUGAAAAGAUUCAAUAUUCUUCAAUUGGUUGUACAUUUACUUAUGUGAUUAUGUGAUAGUUUUAUGUUAAUUUCUUUAUCCUUUACCGGAUUUUGAAUGUACAUAUAUUCUACACCACUUUGUUUAUGAAUAAAUACAACUAUGAAGGUAUGCACUUCUUUUCUAGUAGGACGUUGCGACCCAUUGAAUGUUAAUCUACGGCUACUCGUUAGAGCCUAUUCCUAUUUUACUUAAUUGUAUUUAUGGGAAAUAGAUUUCUGAGUGUGUCCCGAAUAACUGUUCGAUGGUAUUAUAAAACCAUAAUAUUGGAUCGCCACUUCGUGGGCAUUUGGUAUUCAUUCAAGUAUGUAAGGUAAUUUAAAUGUCAGGGGCUCUUGUACUGGCUUUGGAUCCUAACUACUGUUCGAGUGAAAUUUACUAUCAAAUAGUAUCCUUUUAUUGGUCAGCAACGCUGUUGCUUUGGGUACUUUCAGGAC
rnacentral:rRNA from 1 species